AUGUCUAGGGGAAGUCUCCUGUUUGCUUCUUGCACCAUCAUCCUUUCUCUUCUUCUUCCAUCUACUGUUAUUUCAGAAACGUCCCAUACCGAUACUUUAGAUAUCUGUACCUCUUCUUGUGGAGAUAUUUACAUAAGCUACCCAUUUCGACUGAAAGGAGACCAUCAAAGCUGUGGAGACAAAAGGUUUGAGCUAUCUUGUGAGGUAAAUAGUACUACUGCAGCACUAUACUUGGAAUCCGGAAAAUAUUAUGUGAAGUCAAUCCAUUACAAUAACUUCACAAUCCGAGUUGUGGAAUCUGGCGUUCAGAAGAAGAAGGACUACUGCUCCACCCCACUACACUCUAUAACCAAGUACAACUCUGCUUAUCCAUACACCUUCCCUUCUUAUGAAAUUCCUUACCUGGAAGAACAUGUGCCUAUGAUACUUGUGACCUGCGCAACUCCAAUGAAUUCCACUCUCUUUAUUGAAACAGUUUCAUGCCUCAACAUCACCACCACCUAUUCUUCCAAAUAUUCUUAUUUCAUGGUUGGCUUCGUAACUUCUUUUGAUUUGGGGAGGUCCUGCAAAAUAUCACAAAUGCUUUUGGCAUCACCUUCAACCAACAGCAACAUGGUGUCAUGUGAAGGCAUAUGUGAUGAAAUAGUGAAUGGUUUUGAGCUCUCAUGGUUUACUUAUGGAUGUGGAAAAUGCAAAACUGGUGAGAUGUGUGAAUUACCGUUUUACAACAUCAACAACAGAUUCAACCUCAACACCAUUGAAUGCAAUCUGCGGCCCUGGAUCUUCGGGAAAAGAAUAUAUUUAAUUCAUAGGUAUAGACCUGGAUACCUUGCUCUGUUCCUUCUCAAUGGUGCCGUUUACCUUGCAAUGUACCAAGCAGCUAAACUUAUCUUUGGCCUUCCCUGUAUAACUGCAUUACUAAGACACAAAUGGCGAAGAAGACACAUGUCAAUGUACGACCAAAUCGAAGACUUCCUGCAGAGCAAUAAUAAUCUCAUGCCUGUGAGAUACUCUUACUCAGACAUCAAGAAGAAGGCAGGGGGUUUCAAGGAAAAGUUAGGUGAAGAAGGCUAUGGGACAGUAUACAAGGCAAAGCUUCGUAGUGGUCGUCUUGUAGCAAUCAAGAUGCUGGGAAAGUCCAAGGCUAAUGGACAAGAAUUUAUCAAUGAAGUAGCCACCAUUGGAAGGAUUCACCAUGUUAAUGUGGUUCAGCUGAUUGGGUUUUGUGUCGAUGGAACAAGGCGUGCUCUUGUGUAUGAUUUCAUGCCUAAUGGGUCUCUAGAGAAACACAUUUUUCUACAACAAGGGGUAAUUCUCUUAAGCUUCAACAAAAUUUUUGAAAUUGCACUUGGAGUGGCUCGUGGUAUUGAAUAUCUGCAUCGAGGAUGCAAUAUGCAAAUUUUGCACUUUGACAUCAAGCCUCAUAACAUUCUUCUGGACGAGAAUUUCAUUCCCAAGGUUUCUGAUUUUGGGUUAGCAAGGCUAUACCCAUUGAAUAAUAGCAUCGUGUCUCUGACUGCUGUAAGAGGCACGAUAGGAUACAUAGCUCCUGAGCUAUUCUAUAAGAACAUUGGAGGUGUUCCCUACAAGGCUGAUGUAUAUAGUUUUGGAAUGUUAUUGAUGGAAAUGGCCGGGAGACGGAAGAAUUUGAAUGCAACCAUAGAGCAUUCAAGCCAGUUUAGCCAAAUAUACUUUCCUACAUGGGUAGCUGAUCAGUUGAAUGAAGGGAAGGACAUACAAAUAGGAGAUGCCACUGAGGAUGAAAAGAAAACGAUAAAGAAGAUGAUCGUAGUAGCACUGUGGUGCAUACAGAUGAAGCCUAGUGAGCGCCCUUCAAUGAGUAAAGUAGUCGAGAUGCUUGAAGGAGAACUUGAGACCUCCAAAUACCCCCAAAGCCUUUCUUAUAUCCACAACAAAUGCCAGUAGAGGAUAUUGGAGACACUUCUUCUACUACCGAUGGAUCGACAAUGAUGGAAGUGUCAACAGAGAUCAACUGA